GGUCCUACGGGAGGCAGCAGUGGGGAAUAUUGCACAAUGGGGGAAACCCUGAUGCAGCAACGCCGCGUGAGUGAGGAAGUAUUUCGGUAUGUAAAGCUCUAUCAGCAGGGAAUAGAAAAGAAGGUACCUGAGUAAGAAGCCCCGGCUAACUACGUGCCAGCAGCCGCGGUAAUACGUAGGGGGCAAGCGUUAUCCGGAUUUACUGGGUGUAAAGGGAGCGUAGACGGCAGUGCAAGUCUGGAGUGAAAGGCGGGGGCUCAACCCCCGGACUGCUCUGGAAACUGUACGGCUGGAGUGCAGGAGAG
rnacentral:rRNA from 1 species